GAAAAGAUAAGCUAAUUAAACUAUUGGGUUCAUACCCCAACCAUAGAGGUUCCAACCCUCUUCUUUUCA
rnacentral:tRNA from 1 species